rnacentral:lncRNA from 1 species
GUGCAGACAGGCACUGCAGAGGCCCUGGUGGACAAUUCCCAAACCCCUCUUUGAGACUUUCUGGCCCAGGGCUCUGUGUGCAGCUGACCCCAGGCAGCCUCAGGAGCUCCUGUCCAGGGCUGGAGCUUUGUCCUUGCCAGGGCCCGGUCUUGCUGCUCUGUGGAACCCCCAGGAGCUGGCAGUGCCUCUGGAGCCCUCAGCCCAGCACUGAGGAAGUACUGAGUAAGCACUGAGUAAGUACUGCCCAGUCACUCCUUGUCCUCUGUUUGUUGUGCGUCUCAGUUUCCAGCCCUGAAGGAUCCUUUGCCACACGUGGCCUUCCCAGCAUCUGAACUGCAGUUCCAGUCUGACAGUCACUGGGGGAUAUCCCAUUGUGCCCUGACCUUGGUGCAUUUCCAGCCUUUCCAGGGCAUUUCCAGUGGGCUCUGGAAACCUGGCCAAGCUAAUGCUCAGCUGUCAAUUAAACUAAACACUGUGUUUGCUUCUGUUUCCUAUGAAUUUUAGGAGAUUCUUGAAUUAUUUUGUGGGAAUAGUCAACUAUGACCUCUUUCUGGAGGGCUGCAAUUUCAGGAUGUGCAUCUUCAUCAAUGAUUUAUUUUUUGACAGGUGGUUUUUUAGAUGGCCACAGUCCAGUCAGCGUGGAUGGACAAGAGCUUGGACAAAUUUAUUGAUGUAUUUACACAGUGACCAUGUUAACAUCUGGGUUUCAAACACAUCACAUCACUUGCACAGCACGUAACCAGGAGCAAAAGUGGAAAUACCAGUUCCUGCCCUCACCUCUCCCAGGAUUUCAUUUGUGAAUCAGCUUUUUGAAAAAAUAUUCCAAGCCAGGAGGUGAUGCAAUGAGCACAUCAUCAAUGAGCACACGCCUGUGGGAAAGACAAUUAUGGAUGUCAAGAGCAAAACUUUCAUACCAUCUGUCAGGAGCAAACAAUGAUUGCGUAAAGAGAGGAGGAAUUUUAUAUAUUUUAUUUUAUAUAUUUUCCUGGAAAUGUUGCAAAGCCUGGUGAAUGUUUUUGUAAAGUAAUUUAGUGACACUUUUUCAGUAAAUAAAAUAUCUAUGUCUCAAAGAGGUAAAUGUUAU